CUGUUAGGGGGAUGAUGUAUUACUACAGGGCUCUUAAAAUGCUUGCUUUUCUUGAUUCCGCAUCCGAAAUGGAUAUAAG